CCUACGGGAGACAGCAGUGAGGAAUAUUGGUCAAUGGACGCAAGUCUGAACCAGCCAUGCCGCGUGAGGGAAGACGGCUCUAUGAGUUGUAAACCGCUUUUGUAGGGGAGCAAACGCCGACACGUGUACCUGUCUGAGAGUACCGUACGAAAAAGCAUCGGCUAACUCCGUGCCAGCAGCCGCGGUAAUACGGAGGAUUCGAGCGUUAUCCGGAUUUAUUGGGUUUAAAGGGUGCGCAGGCGGUCGAUAAAGUCAGCGGUAAAAUCCCGAGGCUCAACCUCGGCGUGCCGUUGAAACUGGUCGGCUUGAGUGUGGGAGAGGUAGGCGGAAUGCGUGGUGUAGCGGUGAAAUGCAUAGAGAUCACGCAGAACACCGAUUGCGAAGGCAGCAUACCG
rnacentral:rRNA from 1 species